CGGUGCCGAAUCUUUGCAAGAGUCAUCACAAUCAUUGCUGGACCCUCUAGAGAAUCAUUUUCUGAGAGGAAACUUAAGCGUGAAAACCUCGAUUUCCCUGAAACCAUUUACAUAAGAGGAGAGAUCCAUACAUACAGAAGGAGACCUUACAAACCCCUGUAAUUGAACACUGGUCUGUUUCAAGGCAAAUGACACCUAGGCAUCUCUGUGUGAACAGUGAAAGAGUAAUUUUCUUGGAUACUACUGGAUCCACAGUGCUACAUUGCCUUGUGAACAGAAGGAAGAGGAGUCAAAAAUCUUCACUCUUGUAUCGUCAUAUUUUUACGUUGUUUACGCUCAUUUAUUGGAUUAUUCAUUGCAAGAAAUGUGGAGAAAAAGCCCUGCAUGCAAUAAUGCACGGUUCUAAUAUUUUUCUUACUUAACCCUUUAACUCCCAUGAGUGACCAAGACAGAAUUUCUCCUUACCAAAUCAAUACAAUAUCAAACAGGCAAGUGAUAAGAAAAAACAAAUAU